UGGGGGAUCUUCCGCAAUGGACGAAAGUCUGACGGAGCAACGCCGCGUGAGUGAUGACGGCCUUCGGGUUGUAAAGCUCUGUUAAUCGGGACGAAAGGUCUUCUUGCGAAUAGUUAGAAGAAUUGACGGUACCGGAAUAGAAAGCCACGGCUAACUACGUGCCAGCAGCCGCGGUAAUACGUAGGUGGCAAGCGUUGUCCGGAAUUAUUGGGCGUAAAGCGCGCGCAGGCGGAUCAGUUAGUCUGUCUUAAAAGUUCGGGGCUUAACCCCGUGAUGGGAUGGAAACUGCUGAUCUAGAGUAUCGGAGAGGAAAGUGGAAUUCCUAGUGUAGCGGUGAAAUGCGUAGAUAUUAGGAAGAACACCAGUGGCGAAGGCGACUUUCUGGACGAAAACUGACGCUGAGGCGCGAAAGCCAGGGGAGCGAACGGGAUUAGAUACCCCGGUAGUCCUGGCCGUAAACGAUGGGUACUAGGUGUAGGAGGUAUCGACCCCUUCUGUGCCGGAGUUAACGCAAUAAGUACCCCGCCUGGGGAGUACGACCGCAAGGUUG
rnacentral:rRNA from 1 species